UACGUAGGUGGCGAGCGUUGUCCGGAUUUACUGGGCGUAAAGAGCGCGCAGGCGGUCGUUCAAGUCGCGUGUGAAAGCCCCCGGCUCAACUGGGGAGGGUCACGCGAUACUGAUCGACUCGAAGGCAGGAGAGGGAAGUGGAAUUCCCGGUGUAGUGGUGAAAUGCGUAGAUAUCGGGAGGAACACCUGUGGCGAAAGCGGCGCACUGGACCAUAACUGACGCUGAGGCGCGAAAGCCAGGGGAGCAAACGGG
rnacentral:rRNA from 1 species